UACGGAGGAUGCAAGCGUUAUCCGGAAUGAUUGGGCGUAAAGCGUCCGCAGGUGGCUGUGUAAGUCUGCUGUUAAAGCGUGAGGCUCAACCUCAUAAAAGCAGUGGAAACUACACAGCUAGAGUGCGUUCGGGGCAGAGGGAAUUCCUGGUGUAGCGGUGAAAUGCGUAGAGAUCAGGAAGAACACCGGUGGCGAAGGCGCUCUGCUAGGCCGCAACUGACACUGAGGGACGAAAGCUAGGGGAGCGAAUGGG
rnacentral:rRNA from 1 species